rnacentral:rRNA from 1 species
CGAAAUGCGAUAAGUAAUGNGAAUUGCAGAAUUCAGUGAAUCAUCGGAUCUUUGAACGCACCUUGCA